ensembl:snRNA U6 U6 spliceosomal RNA
GUGCUGGCUUCGGCAGCACAUACACUAAAAUCAGAACAAUACGGAGAUUAGCAUGGCCCCUGCACUAGGAUGACACACAAAUUUGUAAAAUAUACCAUUAAAAA